rnacentral:lncRNA from 1 species
GACCAUUAUCAAUAAAAGCACUUCCAUAAUAUUCGUUAGAAAAAUAUAUAGAACAACCAUUAUUCUUUAUAAUUAUUUUAAAAUUUUAGUCCAAUAAUAAUGGUACAAAAAUAAUAUUUCUAACAAUAUUUGAAAUGUAAUAAUAGAUUUUUAGUUCCAAAACUUUUUUCGAAGGCAACUUCAAAAACCUGGUUCCUAUGACUUCGGUUUGAAUGAACUCUCCACUU